GAUGAACGCUGGCGGCGUGCCUAAUACAUGCAAGUCGAGCGAACAGACGAGGAGCUUGCUCCUCUGACGUUAGCGGCGGACGGGUGAGUAACACGUGGAUAACCUACCUAUAAGACUGGGAUAACUUCGGGAAACCGGAGCUAAUACCGGAUAAUAUAUUGAACCGCAUGGUUCAAUAGUGAAAGACGGUUUUGCUGUCACUUAUAGAUGGAUCCGCGCCGCAUUAGCUAGUUGGUAAGGUAACGGCUUACCAAGGCAACGAUGCGUAGCCGACCUGAGAGAGUGCUCGGCCACACUGGAACUGAGACACGGUCCAGACUCCUACGGGAGGCAGCAGUAGGGAAUCUUCCGCAAUGGGCGAAAGCCUGACGGAGCAACGCCGCGUGAGUGAUGAAGGUCUUCGGAUCGUAAAACUCUGUUAUUAGGGAAGAACAAAUGUGUAAGUAACUAUGCACGUCUUGACGGUACCUAAUCAGAAAGCCACGGCUAACUACGUG
rnacentral:rRNA from 1 species